AUGCGCAAGAUAGCGGCAAAGGCCAAGCAGGUUGCCUCUGGCAGCCCGUGGUACGGCUCUGACCGUGUGCUCUACCUCAGUCCGCUUUCUGGCGAGCCCCCGAGCUACCUCACCGGUGAGUUCCCUGAUGACUACGGCUGGGACACUGCUGGGUUAUCGGCUGACCCCGAGACCUUCGCCAAGAACCGUGAGCUGGAGGUCGUGCUCAUGGGCGCCGUCGAGGGUUACCGCAUUGCUGGCGGACCACUCGGUGAGAUCGUCGACCCGCUCUACCCGGGUGGCAGCUUCGACCCGCUUGGCCUUGCCGACGACCCCGAGGCAUUCGCCGAGCUCAAGGUUAAGGAGAUCAAGAACGGUUGCCUUGCCAUGUUCUCCAUGUUCGGUUUCUUUGUGCAAGCCAUCGUCACUGGCAAGGGUCCACUCGAGAACCUCGCUGACCACCUCUCUGACCCUGUCAACAAUAAUGCUUGGGCAUUCGCCACCAACUUUGUUCCUGGGAAAUAA
rnacentral:rRNA from 1 species